AGUGAGUAUAGAGGCGCGAAAACCAUUAGUACACUAUGGGAGGAUAAUGAGAUCCAGGGAUCAUGGUUGAAAGGGGAAUUCGCCGAAGUGAUGAGAAGCUCAUUUUUCUCAGAUACUGGUUUUGCAUCGAAUAGGUGCAAGAUUGUCAUAUAGCGUUGUCUAUAUGGAGGGCUAUCUCACGC
rnacentral:ncRNA from 1 species